GGCAGCCGUCCGCAAUUAGUGUUUUCUAUCUCCGGGCUCACAGCGCUCCUGAAGAAUGGCGGCGGAGGCUGCGCAGCCCAUCAAAAACAUCAAGGAAAUAGUUUCCUUGUAUCGUGACCUAAGCCAUUAUCCAACACUUUACAGUGCAACCGUUGGACCUGAUGUCACUACGCAAUAUGGCGGCAAAUAUUGCAACAUCUACACUGAGUGGACACAGAGAGAUCUUGAUCGCAACGAGCAAGUAAAAUUUUGCCGACAGUCAGGGCCGGCCUUAGGGGUGUGCGAGCUGUGCGACCGCACAGGGCGCCAUGGAAC